rnacentral:rRNA from 1 species
UGGUUGGAAAUCAUUCAUAGAGUGUAAAGGCAUAAGGGAGCUUGACUGCGAGACCUACAAGUCGAGCAGGGUCGAAAGACGGACUUAGUGAUCCGGUGGUUCCGCAUGGAAGGGCCAUCGCUCAACGGAUAAAAGCUACCCCGGGGAUAACAGGCUUAUCUCCCCCAAGAGUUCACAUCGACGGGGAGGUUUGGCACCUCGAUGUCGGCUCAUCGCAUCCUGGGGCUGUAGUCGGUCCCAAGGGUUGGGCUGUUCGCCCAUUAAAGCGGUACGCGAGCUGGGUUCAGAACGUCGUGAGACAGUUCGGUCCCUAUCCGUCGUGGGCGUAGGAAAUUUGAGAGGAGCUGUCCUUAGUACGAGAGGACCGGGAUGGACAUACCUCUGGUGUACCAGUUGUCGUGCCAACGGCAUAGCUGGGUAGCUAUGUAUGGACGGGAUAAGUGCUGAAAGCAUCUAAGCAUGAAGCCCCCCUCAAGAUGAGAUUUCCCAACUUCGGUUAUAAGAUCCCUCGAAGAUGACGAGGUUAAUAGGUUCGAGGUGGAAGCGUGGUGACACGUGGAGCUGACGAAUACUAAUCGAUCGAAGACUUAAUCAAUUUUUUAAA